rnacentral:lncRNA from 1 species
ACCCUGGCAGGAUUGAAGACUUGUGGGAAAUUUCCAGCCUUGGUUUAGGGUCCUUUAUGUUUUCACAGCCUUUCUUCCUUGGAAAGGUAGGCUAACCUUUUCAUAUUAUUUUCUGUUUUGGAAACUAGAAACCUUUCUCAAUUGUAUAAAAUAAACAGAAAAAUCAGUGAGUAUGAAUACGGAAUCAUUUAUUCAUUUUUAUUUUAAUUUCUCCUUGAUUAUUAAAGAUAUAUUUUAAUAUACUCUUUUUUAUUUAAUUUUUUAAUUGGCUGACAAAAUUAUAUGUGUUUUUCACAUACAAUUUAAUGUUUUGAAGUAUAUAUACAUUGUAAAAUAGUUCAAUCUAGCUAAUUAACAAUUGCAUUACUUAACACAGUUAUCAUUUUUGAGGUAAGAACACUUAACAUCCAUUCUCUGGGUUUUUCAAGAAUACAAUAUACUGUCAUUAACUAUAGUCACCAUGCUCUACAAUAGAUCUCUUGAACUUAUUUCUCCUAUCUAGUUGUAUUUAUGUUUCCUUUUACCAUCAUCUCCCAACCCCUCUUCCACCUAACCAUGUAGCCCCUGGAAACCAUCAGUCUGCUAUCUACUUCUACAAGAUUAACUUUUUUAAAUUCCACAUAUGAGUGAAAUCAUGUGAUAUUUGUCUUACUGUGCCUGGAUUAUUUCACCUGAUAUAAUGUUAUCCAGGUUCAUCCAUGUUAUCACAAAUGAUAGUAUUUCCUUCUUUUUCUCACUAAAUAGCAUUUCAUUGUGUGUGUGUGUGUGUGUGUGUGUGUGUGUACACACAUUAUAUAUGUCACAUCUCUGUAUUCAUCCAUCUGUUAAAUAUACUAAUAAAGAAGAAAAAUAAAGAUUACGCUGAAAUAUAAUAUUAUGAUUUAGUAUAUAUAUGGUUAUAUUUCUUUGGGUUUACUCUAGCAUGGUUAUUAAACUCUCAAAGUUAAAGAGCAUAUUCAAAAUGUAAUGCCUUCCCUGAACAUGCUUUAUGUUCACAUUAUCUUAUUUACUUUUACUUAUCCACUACAUUUAAUCAGACGUGAAAUCCUCUGGUUUCAUCCUUUUAAGGUGUUCCAAAUUUUUCUCUUAGGUUUUAUUACACAGCCAUACACUAAAAAUUGUACUUGGAUUGCCGCAGCUACAUCCUAGUUUAUCUCCCUUAUUUUCAUCUGUGACUUCAUCUCCACCAGAUGAAUAUAGUUAACAUACUGGAAGAAAGUGAUUCUUUUCUGUUAAUGCCACUCCAGAAUGUUUUAAGAUUUGACGUUAUCUUGUCAGGCCUCUGAGCCCAAGCCUGCACAUAUACAUCCAGAUGGCCAGAGGCAACCGAAAACUACAAAAGAAGUAAAACAGCCAGCUCCUGUCUUAAAUGAUUGACCAACCUUACGACAUUCCAUUAUGACUUGUUCCUGCCCUGCCCCAACUGAUAGAUUGAUCGACCUCGUGACAUUCUUCUUCUGGACAAUGAGUCUUAUGAUCUCCCCACCAUGCACCUUGUGACCUCCUCUUCUGCUGACAAUAGAUAACCACCUUUCACUGUAACUUUCCACUGCUUACCCCAGUCCUGUAAAACUGCCCCACCCCUAUCUCCCUUUGCUGACUCUCUUUUCAGACUAAGCCCACUUUUACCCAAGUGAAAUAAACAGCCUUGCUGCUCACACAAAGUCUAUUGGUGGACUCUCUUCACAUGGACACGCUUGACAUUUGGUGCCUUGACUCAGAUCAGGGGACCUCCCUUGGGAGAUCAAUCCCCUGUCCUGCUGCUGUUUGCUCUGUCAGAAUAUCCACCUAUGACCUUGGGUCCUCAGACCAGCCCAAGAAACACCUCACCAAUUUUAAAUCGGAUGUGGAUGAUGACAGCUGAGUGCAGAUAUGCCUCAAAUUCUUCUCAAGGCAGCACUUCAGGAGGCCCCAACUGAUCCAUCAGAGUUAGCCUGUGAGAUAAGAUUUACUGGCCAUCCCCGAAGCUGCUAAAACUCUGCUAUCAAGUGACCUGUGACCUUGGGAAAAUAUAUUUUUUGUACUUUUAUUUUUCUUCAAAGAGCAAUGUAGCUAAUUAUAGCUACCUCCCAUGAUUGAUGUGAAGAACACAUGAAAUAAAUUGCAAGAAACAGCCCAAUUUGUUAUACCAUAGUUGGAAAAGGCUUGUGGAAUGAAUCCAUUGAAACAUGCCUAAAUGGUACUUGAAUUUAAAAACAAAAAACUUUUAAAUUUUAACUUAAAACUUGAUAAUAUUAUAAUUUUAGGAUUUCUCUUUUUCUUUUAAUUGUGGCAAAAUAUGCAUAUAAAAUUUACUGUCUUAACCAUCUUUAAGUACACAGUUCAGUGACAUUAACUAUAUUUACAUUGCUAAGUAACCAAUCUCUAGGAAUUUUUCAUCUUGAAAAACUAAAACUCUAUAUUCAUUAAACAAACCUGUAUUAACCCCUCUUUUCAGCCCCUGGAAACUAGCAUUCUACUUUCUAUUUCUGUGAAUUAGAUUACUUUAGACACUUAUGUAACUGGAGUCAUACAGUAUGUGUCUUUUCAUGACUGACUUAUUUCACUUAGCAUAAUGUCUUCGGGUUUUAUCCAUGUUGUAGUAGGUGACGGGAUUUCCUUCCCUUUUAAGGCUGAAUAACAUUCCACUGAAUGUACAUACCAUAUUUUCUUUAUCUUUAUUCCACUGAAUAUACAUCCCACAUUUUCUUUAUCUUUAUUCCACUGAUUAAUAUUCUACUGAAUGUACAUACCACAUUUUCUUCAUCUUUAUUCAUUAGUCAGUGAAUAUUUGUGCUGCUUCUACCUCUUCACUAUUGUGAAUAAUGCUGCUAUUAACAUGGCUGUACAAAUAUCUCUUUGAGACCCUGCUUUCAAGUAUUUUGGAUGUAUACCUGGAAGUGGAAUUGCUAAAUCAUUUGGUAAUUCUACUUUUAAUUUUUUAAGGAAACACCACACUUUUUUUAUCUCUAGUAGCUGCACUAUUUUACAUUCCUACCAGUAGUACAUAAAGAUACCAAUGUUUCCACAUCCUCACCAACACGUGUUAUAUUCUGAGAUUUUUCUCAUUUUUUUUGUUUUGUUUUGUUUGAUAAUAACCAUCCUGUUAAGUACAAAGUCAUAUCUAAUUAUGGGCUUGAUUUGCAUUUCCACAAAGAUUAGUGAUGUUGAGCAUCUUUCAUACGUAUUCAGGCCACUCAUAUAUCCUCUUUGAAGAAACGUCUAUAUUAAGUUCUUGUCCCAUUUUUUAUUUGGGUUGUUUUAUUGUUGUUGAGUUGUUGAAGUUCUUUAUACAUGAUAUUUUGGUUUUUAACCCUUUAUCAGAUAUAUAAUUGCAAAUAUUGUCUCCCACCCCAUAGGUUGCCUUUUCACAGUGUUAAUUGUGAUCUUGGAUGAACAGAAAGUUUUAAUUUUGAUGUGGUUAAAUUUACCUAGUUUUACUUCUGCUGCCUGUGCUUCCAAAAAAUCAUUGCCCAGACCAAUGUCAUGGAGAUUUUCCCAUAUGUUUUCUUCUAGUAGUUUUAAAGUUUCAUGUCUCAUAGUUAACUCUCAAAUGGAUUUUGAGUUGAUUUGCAUAUAUAGUAUGAGAUAAGGUUCUAAUCUCAUUCUUCUGCAUGUGGAUAUCCAGUUUUCCCAACACCAUUUGUUGGACAAACUACACUUUCCCCCUUGAAUGAUCUUGGCACCCUUGUCAAAAAUAAGUUGACUGUAUACGCAAGGGCUUAUUCCUGAUAUCUAUUAUAUUCUACUGGUCUAGAUGUCUAUCUUUAUGCCAGUAUCACACUGUUUUGAUUAUUGUAGCUUUGUUAUAAGUUUUGAAAUAAGGAAAUAUGAGACCUGCAAAUGUGUUCCUUUUCUUUAAGACUGCUUUGGCUAUUCAGGGUCUCUUGCAAACUUACAUAAAUUUUUGAGUGAAUAUUUUCUGGAAUUUUUAUUUGAAUUAUAAAUUUCCAAAACAAAAAUCAAAACAAAAGCAAAAGGUUUUUUUGGUUUUUUGGUCUCAAUUAAGGAAUUAGUUGGGGUGGCUUGUAAUUCUCAAAGUAAAAAGAUAUACAUUUUAAUUACUGUAUAAACAUUUUUUAAAAUCCAAAUGUUAAAUACAAUUAAACUAUUAGGAAGAUUUGUUCUCUUUCCCAGGUUUCUGAUUUUUUUCCUUUUCCUGUACCUCAAGCUCUAUAUUAUGACACAAAAAUAUGUAAUGCUAACUGCAUCCUUUCUGCUUCAUUAAAAAAGAAAAGAGAGAAAUGUAAAUGUUCUAAAGUACUGUCAAUUCAGAUGUAUCAAUUAGGUUUGGAAAUGUGAAAGGAGUUAAAUCUUAAAAUAGAGGAAAAAAUAAAAAUAAGGAAACCCCUUUAAUAAUAAAAAUCUAAAAGCUAAAUUUUCUCAGUGAAAGAUUUACUUAAAGUAAAAUAUGUAUGUGUUACUAAGAUGAACUCUGAUUUAUUACUGAAUGCUGUAUAUGAUUUCCCUUUGCAUUUUACCAUUGUAUAUAUAUUAGCAUUGUUUUCUAUGCAUUAUUUAUGUAUCACCUGUGUGAUUACUUAAAAUAUUAAAGAGGAAGGACAUGAGAGAUCCUGGCAAUGUAACAUUAUGCUUCAGUAUCAUCUUAACAGAGCGGA